AGAGUUGAUCCUGGCUCAGGAUGAACGCUGGCGGCGUGCUUAACACAUGCAAGUCGAACGGAGUUUUAACGGAAGUUUCGGAUGGAAAUUAGAACUUAGUGGCGGACGGGUGAGUAACGCGUGGGUAACCUGCCUCAUACAGGGGGAUAACAGUUAGAAAUGACUGCUAACACCGCAUAACAUAGCGAAACCGCAUGAUUUUGCUAUCAAAUAUUUAUAGGUAUGAGAUGGGCCCGCGUCUGAUUAGCUAGUUGGUGGGGUAAAAGCCUACCAAGGCGACGAUCAGUAGCCGGCUUGAGAGAGUGACCGGCCACAUUGGGACUGAGACACGGCCCAAACUCCUACGGGAGGCAGCAGUGGGGAAUAUUGGACAAUGGGGGAAACCCUGAUCCAGCGAACCGCCGCGUGAGUGAAGAAGUAUUUCGGUAUGUAAAGCUCUAUCAGCAGGGAAGAUAAUGACAGUACCUGACUAAGAAGCCCCGGCUAACUACGUGCCAGCAGCCGC
rnacentral:rRNA from 1 species